GAGGAUUGGAGACAGAUGUUAGCUCAGAGCUAAUCUUCCUCAAAAAAGAAAAUUCAGAGAGUAGUUCCCAGAAGUGACCCCAGGAAUGGGUCAGGAGAAGGGGGCAGCCACAUCUUUCCUGCUUGCCUCUGAAAGUCACACCCUACAGUAGGGAAGAAUGGAACUGCAAAGAAGGCCAAUUAUCAAAAAACGUCCGUGGUUUUCAGAGAGGAGAAAGGGUCCUGCUGAGAAACGGUGGUGGGAAUGCAGUGACUGGGAGUCAGGAGACCAUAAUUCUAGUCCCAGGUCUGGGCCAAUUCACUGUGCAACUUUAGGAAAGAGUCUUCUGAGCCUCAGUUUCCCCAUCUGGACACCAAGGGGAUUGGAUAGAUCAGUGUUUCCAAAAACACAUCCCUUGGGAUGUUCAUAGGUGUUCGGUGGAACAAAGGAUUCUUGAAUCAAAGAAGUUUGGGGAAAGCUGCGUUAACACAAGGUAAAACAGGCUCCUUUGCUGCAGGACUUGUCAGAUCCUUUAAUGGACCAAUAUGCACCGUGACUCUCCAAAUAGCGACUAGAACAGAUGGUAUUCUCCAGUUCUAUUUAAGAAAAGGGUUUCAAGGAGCUAGCAUGCUGGGAUAUACUAGGGGAAAUGCAAGUCUAGAGGAUCUCUAUCUAAUAGUCUUCUGGCUCUGAUGCUCUGAGGCCAGCUUCCCCAAAGAGCCUUUCCUGGAGACACUUGCAGUGCUUGAGGACCAGAGAAGACCCACGCACAGGGACUCAGUAAGUAGCAACUGACCAGAUUUGGGUUUCUCCCCUAAAAUUGCCCUUCCUGGCACCAGCCCGGGUAGGUGUCUUCACACAAAUCAGGUGGUGACAGAGGAGGCUUUGCUGGGGAUUUGUCAUAUGAGCACUGCUGGGGUGAAGUACGAGUGUCACAGGACUGGAGGUGUCCGGCUGCAGGGCCAGGAUGGGGGCAAUAGGUGCAGGUGGCAGAAAUGGGUAACAGCGCUGGGUUGACUUUCAACGGUAGCAGCAACCAUGGGUGUGAUCCCGCCAGACGCUGGCUAUGGGCCAGAGGGGCCGUGGUGACGGGGACAGCAUGGCAUGAUUAUGGGUGAUGGUGACAAAGAUGAAGAGCAAAAACAAGCUGCUUUUCAAUAACCUGGCUCCAAGGGUGGAAACAAACACGUGCCUGGCGGUUCCUGAGCUGCGGUCUCAGACAAGCUGGGGUGCAGGGAGCAGAGCCCCCAGACCUCUCUGACACCCACCCUUCCCUCUGAUGCCCUUUUCCCCAAGGCUUCCUCUCUAGCUGGUGAGCACCAGCCCUCUGGAACCGCGCUCUCCCAGGUGAGCUCCAAGAGGGACAUGAUAGCAGCCAGUGGACACUGGCCCCUGGUAUUGGGUGGCGAGGAGGGCCUGUCACCCUAUGCCCCAGCUGGCAGGAGGGCCUGGUAAUGAGGCUCCUCUGAUGCCUCCUGAGAAGCUGCUGCCCUUUCUAUGUUCACAGAGCGGUCCUGGCUCUCUGUUUCCAUGGUGAUAAGAGUUCCAAGAGCAGGAUGCUGCCAGCUCUUCCGUCCCCCCCUCCCCCAAUCAGAGGAAAGCCCGCUUCUGCUCCACGGGCAGGGGAUGGGGUCCUCCAGAGCUGAGCCAAUCCGAAGCCCACCUGGAGCCCCGACUCCCACCAUGGGGUGAAUCCCAGGAGGCUGGCACAGAGAGGAUGGAACUGGUUGGAAGAGAGAGGAAAGCAGCCAAAUCAAUGGGGCAGGCUUGGAAGCUGAAUGAAUGGCUUUGCCAGACCUGCAUGCCCUCUUUUAGGAACCAGCAGAUGUAGGUCACCAGCAGCGGCAGGGGCUGGGAGAGGUCGGACUGCCCAAGCCAAGGCUCUCACACCUUCCUCAGGAUGAGAGACAAUAGGAAUCUGGAGUCCAACCUCGUCAUUGUGCAGCUGAGGAAAUUGGGAUUCAGGGAGAAGGGAUGAGCCCAAGGUCAAACAGCAAGUUAAGGACAGAGCAAGACCAGGACCCAGCCCCCUGACUCACAGCCCAGCGCUCUUCUCUGAACAACGGUGCUUCUUUGCUGACACCUGGCAUUUCCUCACUCCCUGCCCCCUUCUCCCUGAGACCAAGGGAGGGGGACCCUGAGGCCAGGCGGCCCCACCCUCGCCCUGUUGGUCCUAGGUUACUCAGCCCACCUUCAGGAAAGCAGUAACUGCACCCCUCUGUGCCUCGUAUUCCUGGUCUAUAAAGUGGGGCUAACAAGACCUAGCCCCCAGAACUGUUGGAAGAUUACAUGAGACAAAGCUUCACACAAUGUGGCUACUACCAUGAUGUGUGGCCUUGUGACAGUGAGGGGCGGGGACUCUUGUGGGGAGGGAGAGGAAAGGGGAGAGAGUAAGAGGGUGCAAAAGAACAGGGGGAGGAAUCAAGAAGACCCAAGAGACCCACAAAUGGCCCAAAGAAGUCACUCAUGUCAGCAAAUCAAAAGAACCCACGUAUCACAGUGGUUCCAUGCCCAGCUGCCCAAGGGCAGAGAGCUUGAAUGAGUGUGUGUGUGUGGGGUGGGGGGGUUGGGGGAGGGAAGUGGUCAAUAACAGCAGCCCUGUGAGCAGUUCUCUCACAUCUACCAGCCCCUGUGAGUUCACAGCAUCCCCUACCCCAGGACUGUGGGCCUGCUUUUGGUGCCUGGACAGUGGGGAUGGACCAGUGAUGGUCCAGGUUAGAGAACGGACUUGCCCAAAGUCACAGGGGAAGUGGCAUCUGCAGAAAUAGGGUCCAGGAGUUCUGACUCCUUGGCUAGUCCUGGUACUUUUAAGCCAAAAGCCAGAAAACUUCCUCCAAUACUCUCCCUCCCCAUGCACACAGGCACCUUGGCUGGGAGGUCCAACCCCACAUGACAAGGUGGGGAGGGGCAGAGGUCUGGGCCCAGGGCCCCAGGAACGUAUAGAUUUGGGCCCCCUCUCUCAUGCCAGCUUCCACUCCACUCCCAGAUCCCUUUCCCAUUUCCUCCCUUGUGCCUUUGCUUCCCUUCAGCCCUGCUGAGGGGCACCCUGGGGUCCUAGCAGGGAAGCUAAAGCUGCCGGUAGAAGGAUGGGGAAGCAGGUGGUGGGCCCAGCAGGGCAGGAGCGCGGCAGGAAAGAGGAGGUCCCCCUGCUAGCUCUCGGAGUCUGCUUCAGUGUAGAGCGCAUGGAUGAGGGCCAGGUCGACGCCCCCAUCCCUCACCCCCGAAAGCUCAAGGCUGGCGCUCAGCUGUUCUAGUCCCCAGCCCCCAGUCAGCUCCUGGGGGAAAUGGGCGGGGGCCUGACCCCAGCCACCCCUACCCCGCGCCUCCUGGGGCUGCAGACACCUGUUCGCAGGACCUGGCCCAGUGAACCCGGGCCCCCAUCACACUACAUCCAGACCCCCAAGCAGUUGGAGGAACACCUUCCCCCUCUCAUCGCCAGACCGUGACCUCGGCUCUCCCCGCAGUCCAGCUCAGCCUGGCCUCCCCAAGAGCCCUGAGUCGGGUCCAGGUGCCCUCUCCACCCUCCCGGGGCCUCGAUGGGGGCGGGCCUCCGCACCCCUCCCUCAGGUGCGCCCCCGCCCUCGCGCCCUACCUUGCGGAGUCUGGGAAGACAGGUUUGUGCGUCCCCAUUUUGCACCUGAGGACACUGUCUAAGAGGAGUGAAGCUGCGUGCCCAAGGUCACACAGAGCACUGAAUCUCUGGACUCUGCAGACAAAGCCAGGAGGGCAACAGCCAGCGGAUCCUGAACCCAAGGAGGCCCAGGUCUCACAUCAAACCAGACGUGAGAUGUGUGCUGAUUUAAGGAAAGUGUUAGAUGAAAAUGUACUUCCUUUUGUUAUAUGGAGAUAUUUUUAAAUGCAUAUAAAUAAACAUUUUUAAUUCGCUUGAA